rnacentral:rRNA from 2 species
AGGUACGAUCAUACCAGCACUAAUGCACCGAAUUGCAUGAGACCUCCGCCGUUAAUCGUGCUUGGGAGAGAGUAGUACUUGGAUGGGUGACCUCCUCGGAAGUGCUUGUGUUGUUCCUC